GAUGAACGCUGGCGGCGUGCCUAACACAUGCAAGUGGAGCGACGAACCCGGACUUGUCCGGGGGCAAAGCCGCGAACGGGUGAGUAACACGUGGAUUAUCUGCCCCAAUGACCGGGACAACCCGAGGAAACUCGAGCUAAUACCGGAUGUGCUCUUCGGAGGAAAGGAAGCCUCGGCCUCCGAAUUGGUAUGACUCCGCGGCGCAUUAGCUAGUUGGUGGGGUAAUGGCCUACCAAGGCGACGAUGCGUAGCUGGUCUGAGAGGACGAUCAGCCACACUGGAACUGAGACACGGUCCAGACUCCUACGGGAGGCAGCAGUGGGGAAUCUUGCGCAAUGCACGAAAGUGUGACGCAGCAACGCCGCGUGCGGGAAGAAGGUCUUCGGAUCGUAAACCGCUUUCAGUUGGGACGAGGGUCAGCUGGUGAAUAGCCAGUCUGACUGACGGCACCUUCAGAAGAAGCCCCGGCUAACUACGUGCCAGCCGCCGCAGUAAGAC
rnacentral:rRNA from 1 species